rnacentral:tRNA from 1 species
AGCCGGUUAGCUUAGUUGGUAAAGCGAUAGGUUCUGACCCUAUAGACCAGAGGUUCAAGUCCUCUACCGGUUG